GACGAACGCUGGCGGCGUGCUUAACACAUGCAAGUCGAACGGAAAGGCCCUGCUUUUGUGGGGUGCUCGAGUGGCGAACGGGUGAGUAACACGUGAGUAACCUGCCCUUGACUUUGGGAUAACUUCAGGAAACUGGGGCUAAUACCGGAUAGGAGCUCCUGCUGCAUGGUGGGGGCUGGAAAGUUUCGGCGGUUGGGGAUGGACUCGCGGCUUAUCAGCUUGUUGGUGGGGUAGUGGCUUACCAAGGCUUUGACGGGUAGCCGGCCUGAGAGGGUGACCGGCCACAUUGGGACUGAGAUACGGCCCAGACUCCUACGGGAGGCAGCAGUGGGGAAUAUUGCACAAUGGGCGGAAGCCUGAUGCAGCAACGCCGCGUGCGGGAUGACGGCCUUCGGGUUGUAAACCGCUUUCGCCUGUGACGAAGCGUGAGUGACGUAAUGGUA
rnacentral:rRNA from 1 species